rnacentral:misc_RNA from 1 species
GCGAAAUCCAAACGGUUGGUGUCCUGACGCCACAAGGGUCAGGCCCUUCCAUCAUUUCAUACACCUUUGUCGAACUGUGAGAGGAUAGGGUAACACUUAUCCUCUACUUUUUCAAACUCUUAAAGUCUAAGAAUGAAGUCUUGGUUAAAACCAAAAUA